UACGAAGGGGGCUAGCGUUGCUCGGAUUGACUGGGCGUAAAGGGCGCGUAGGCGGUUCGUACAGUCAGACGUGAAAUUCCUGGGCUCAACCUGGGGGCUGCGUUUGAUAACGUGCGGACUUGAGUGCGGAAGAGGGUCGUGGAAUUCCCAGUGUAGAGGUGAAAUUCGUAGAUAUUGGGAAGAACACCGGUGGCGAAGGCGGCGACCUGGUCCGAUACUGACGCUGAGGCGCGAAAGCGUGGGGAGCAAACAGG
rnacentral:rRNA from 1 species